rnacentral:rRNA from 3 species
UUGUCUUUAGUUGCUACGCAAGAGCACUCUAAAGAGACUGCCGGUGACAAACCGGAGGAAGGUGGGGAUGACGUCAAGUCCUCAUGGCCCUUAUGGGUAGGGCUUCACACGUCAUACAAUGGUGCAUACAGAGGGUUGCCAACCCGCGAGAGGGAGCUAAUCUCAGAAAAUGCAUCGUAGUCCAGAUCGUAGUCUGCAACUCGACUACGUGAAGCUGGAAUCGCUAGUAAUCGCGGAUCAGAAUGUCGCGGUGAAUACGUUCCCGGGUCUUGUACACACCGCCCGUCAUACCAUGGGAGUGGGUUUUGCCAGAAGCCGUUAGCCUAACCGCAAGGAGGGCGACUGCCACGGCAGGGUUCAUGACUGGGGUAAAGUCGUAACAAGGUAGCCGUAUCGGAAGGUGCGGCUGGAUCACCUCCUUU